GUUAUAUGGUCAAGUGAAUAAGCGCAUACGGUGAAUGCCUUGGCGAUAAGAGGCGAUGAAAGACGUGGCAGCCUGCGAAAAGCGUCGGGGAGCUGGCAACAAGCUUUGAUCCGACGAUGUCUGAAUGGGGAAACCCGGCCGCAAGGUCAUCUUUAGGCUGAAUCCAUAGGCCUUUAGAAGCGAACGUGGGGAACUGAAACAUCUAAGUACCUGCAGGAACAGAAAUCAACCGAGAUUCCCUGAGUAGUGGCGAGCGAAAUGGGAAGAGCCAGUCAUCUUUAGCAUCUGAUCUAGUGGAAUGGUAUGGAAAGGCCAGCAACAAAGGGUGAUAGCCCCGUACACGAAAGACAGAUGUGGAACUAAGUUGACGACAAGUAGGGCGGGACACGUGAAAUCCUGUCUGAAGAUGGGGGGACCAUCCUCCAAGGCUAAAUACUACUUAUCGACCGAUAGUGAACUAGUACCGUGAGGGAAAGGCGAAAAGAACCCCGGCGAGGGGAGUGAAAUAGAACCUGAAACCGUAUGCGUACAAGCAGUGGGAGCAGACUUGUUCUGUGACUGCGUACCUUUUGUAUAAUGGGUCAGCGACUUACUUCUCAGUGGCGAGCUUAACCGAAUAGGGGAGGCGUAGCGAAAGCGAGUCUGAAUAGGGCGUUUAGUCGCUGGGAGUAGACCCGAAACCGGAGCGAUCUAUCCAUGGCCAGGAUGAAGGUUGGGUAAAACCAACUGGAGGUCCGAACCCACGCCUGUUGAAAAAGUCGGGGAUGAGCUGUGGAUCGGAGUGAAAGGCUAAUCAAGCCCGGAGAUAGCUGGUUCUCCUCGAAAGCUAUUUAGGUAGCGCCUCGUAUCUCACUCUCGGAAUCUAUGCUCAGUGGGAAACGAUGUGGGAAGGCAUAGACAGCCAGGAGGUUGGCUUAGAAGCAGCCACCCUUUAAAGAAAGCGUAAUAGCUCACUGGUCGAGUCGGCCUGCGCGGAAGAUUUAACGGGGCUAAGCAUAGUACCGAAGCUGCGGAUGCCGCAAGGCAUGGUAGAGGAGCGUUCUGUAAGCCUGUGAAGGUGAGUUGAGAAGCUUGCUGGAGGUAUCAGAAGUGCGAAUGCUGACAUGAGUAACGAUAAUGCGGGUGAAAAGCCCGCACGCCGAAAAUCUAAGGUUUCCUGCUCAACGUUCAUCGGAGCAGGGUUAGUCGGACCCUAAGGCGAGGCCGAGAGGCGUAGUCGAUGGAAAAAAGAUUAAUAUUUCUUUACCUCGUUAUAUUGCGAUGGGGGGACGGAGAAGGUUAGGCCAGCCUGGCGACGGUUGUCCAGGUUUAAGCGUUUAGGCAGAAUCCUUAGGCAAAUCCGGGGGUUCAAUGCUGAGUCGUGAUGACGAGUCACCAAGGUGACGAAGUGGUUGAUACCAUGCUUCCAGGAAAAGCCUCUAAGCUUCAGAUAUAACGAGACCGUACCACAAACCGACACAGGUAGAUUGGUCGAGAAGACUAAGGCGUUUGAGAGAACUUGGGUGAAGGAACUAGGCAAAAUAGCACCGUAACUUCGGGAGAAGGUGCGCCACGGUAGGGUUAAUAGCCCGAGGUGGCUGCAAUGACCAGGCCGCUGCGACUGUUUAUCAAAAACACAGCACUCUGCAAACUCGAAAGAGGACGUAUAGGGUGUGACGCCUGCCCGGUGCCGGAAGGUUAAUUGAUGGGGUUAGCGCAAGCGAAGCUCUUGAUCGAAGCCCCGGUAAACGGCGGCCGUAACUAUAACGGUCCUAAGGUAGCGAAAUUCCUUGUCGGGUAAGUUCCGACCUGCACGAAUGG
rnacentral:rRNA from 1 species